rnacentral:rRNA from 1 species
ACGGGGGGAGCAAGCGUUGUUCGGAAUCACUGGGCGUAAAGGGCGUGUAGGCGGUCAGGUAAGUGAGACGUGAAAUGCCUCGGCUCACCCGAGGAGCGGCGUCUCAUACUGCUUGGCUUGAGUACGGGAGAGGAUGUGGGAAUUCCUGGUGUAGCGGUGAAAUGCGUAGAUAUCAGGAGGAACACCGGUGGCGAAGGCGGCUUCCUGGACCGACACUGACGCUGAGGCGCGAAAGCUAGGGGAGCAAACGGGA